rnacentral:rRNA from 1 species
CAAUAGCGUAUAUUAAAGUUGUUGCGGUUAAAAAGCUCGUAGUUGGAUUUCUGUUGGGAACGACCGGUCCGCCCAUUGGGUGUGUAUCUGGCUUGUUCUCGGCAUCUUCUUGGUGAACGUUGCUGCACUUGACUGUGUGGAGCGCUACCCAGGACUUUUACUUUGAGGAAAUUAGAGUGUUUCAAGCAGGCAUAUGCCUUGAAUACAUUAGCAUGGAAUAAUAAGAUAGGACCUCGGUUCUAUUUUGUUGGUUUCUAGAGCUGAGGUAAUGAUUAAUAGGGAUAGUUGGGGGCAUUCGUAUUUAACUGUCAGAGGUGAAAUUCUUGGAUUUGUUAAAGACGGCCUACUGCGAAAGCAUUUGCCAAGGAUGUUUUCAUUGA